UGUGUUACACAUUGAUUAGGUGCAGCAUAGAACUGCUGCAUGGGAAUCUGGUGAAAAUCCAGAGCUGACGCGCAGCGGUGAAGGUGCAAGUGAGUGCUUCAAUGUAGCCACUGAGAGUAUAAAAACUCUUGGGAAGGUGAGGCAAUUACUCUCGCGUAGAGCACCCCAGUCCGAAGACCGGCCUAAUCAGAAACAUGUGC
rfam:Corynebacterium diphtheriae NCTC 13129, complete genome